rnacentral:rRNA from 1 species
CCUACGUGAGGCAGCAGUGGGGAAUAUUGCGCAAUGGGCGAAAGCCUGACGCAGCGACGCCGCGUGAGGGAUGAAGGUCUUCGGAUCGUAAACCUCUGUCAGCAGGGAAGAAUGGUCCCUGUGCUAAUCAGCAGUGAAUUGACGGUACCUGCAAAGGAAGCACCGGCUAACUCCGUGCCAGCAGCCGCGGUAAUCCGGAGGGUGCGAGCGUUUAUCGGAAUUACUGGGCGUAAAGCGCUCGUAGUCGGUAGGUCAAGUCAAGGGUGAAAUCCCCGCGCUCAACGUGGGAACUGCCUUUGAAACUGGCAAACUGGAGUGUGUGAGAGGAUAGUGGAAUUCCAGGUGUAGGAGUGAAAUCCGUAGAUAUCUGGAGGAACAUCAGGGGCGAAGGCGACUAUCUGGCACAUAACUGACGCUGAGGAGCGAAAGCGUGGGUAGCAAACAGGAUUAGAUACCCUUGUAGUC